rnacentral:sRNA from 1 species
AUCAGGUGAAGUUCGAUUAAGGUCGCUACAUCACGUAGCAACAUCGGACCAAUCCACGUCCUGUAGG